UUUCCGUAGGUGAACCUGCGGAAGGAUCAUUAUUGAAUGAAACACCUCUGGCUUCAUGCUGUUGUGCUGGCCCUUUGGGCAAUGUGCACACGGCUCUGGUCACUUGUUUCUUCUGUUCCACCUGUGCACUGCCUGUAGACACGCUGUGUCUAUGAUAUUUGUUAACACACAACAAUGUUAGUUGGCAUGUUAUAUAUAAUAAUAAAAUAUACAACUUUCAACAACGGAUCUCUUGGCUCUC
rnacentral:misc_RNA from 1 species